rnacentral:rRNA from 1 species
UAGGGAAUCUUCCGCAAUGGGCGAAAGCCUGACGGAGCAACGCCGCGUGAGUGAUGAAGGUCUUCGGAUCGUAAAACUCUGUUAUUAGGGAAGAACAAAUGUGUAAGUAACUAUGCACGUCUUGACGGUACCUAAUCAGAAAGCCACGGCUAACUACGUGCCAGCAGCCGCGGUAAUACGUAGGUGGCAAGCGUUAUCCGGAAUUAUUGGGCGUAAAGCGCGCGUAGGCGGUUUUUUAAGUCUGAUGUGAAAGCCCACGGCUCAACCGUGGAGGGUCAUUGGAAACUGGAAAACUUGAGUGCAGAAGAGGAAAGUGGAAUUCCAUGUGUAGCGGUGAAAUGCGCAGAGAUAUGGAGGAACACCAGUGGCGAAGGCGACUUUCUGGUCGGUAACUGACGCUGAUGUGCGAAAGCGUGGGGAUCAAACAGG